rnacentral:rRNA from 1 species
AUUACGUCCCUGCCCUUUGUACACACCGCCCGUCGUUACUACCGAUUGAAUGGCUUAGUGAGGCCCUCGGAUCGAUUUUCUGAGACUGGCACCAGUCUCUGAUUGUUGAGAAGUUGGUCAACCUUGGUCAUUUAGAGGAAGUAAAAGUCGUAACAAGGUUUCCGUAGGUGAACCUGCGGAAGGAUCAUUA